rnacentral:rRNA from 1 species
GAUGAACGCUGGCGGCGUGCCUAAUACAUGCAAGUCGAGCGAACGGACGAGAAGCUUGCUUCUCUGAUAUUAGCGGCGGACGGGUGAGUAACACGUGGAUAACCUACCUAUAAGACUGGGAUAACUUCGGGAAACCGGAGCUAAUACCGGAUAAUAUUUUGAACCGCAUGGUUCAAAAGUGAAAGACGGUCUUGCUGUCACUUAUAGAUGGAUCCGCGCUGCAUUAGCUAGUUGGUAAGGUAACGGCUUACCAAGGCAACGAUGCAUAGCCGACCUGAGAGGGUGAUCGGCCCCACUGGAACUGAGACACGGUCCAGACUCCUACGGGAGGCAGCAGUAGGGAAUCUUCCGCAAUGGGCGGAAGCCUGACGGAGCAACGCCGCGUGAGUGAUGAAGGUCUUCGGAUCGUAAAACUCUGUUAUUAGGGAAGAACAUAUGUGUAAGUAACUGUGCACAUCUUGACGGUACCUAAUCAGAAAGCCACGGCUAACUACGUG